rnacentral:ncRNA from 1 species
CUUCCCAGUGCCGGAAGGUAAAGGAAGUUGGUGACCUAAUGACAGGGUAGCUGGCUACUGAAGCCCUAAUGAACGGCGGCCGUAACUAUAAAGGUCAUAAGUAGAGAAAUUCCUUUAUCGGGUAAGUUCCAACUCGCACGAUAG